rnacentral:lncRNA from 1 species
AAAUUUUAAAUAUCUUGAGUCUGCUAUUUAAAUAUCUUGAGAGAAAUUUUAAUCUAGUACUGGUAAUUAUUUCUUAAUGGUACCAAAUAGUAAUUUAAUAUCCAAGUGUUAUAUCUAAAACUUUAAAAACUAAUCUGCAUGCAUGUUAGUUGCGUAGUUACCAUUUAUUCAAAGGCGACUCAUCAAUUAUAUUAUUCAUUAUUUUUUAAAUAUUUUUUAUUUGUUUGAAAAUAACAUAGUAGUUAUUUCGCAACAUUAAUUAGCAUACCUUAAGUGAGAUUGUUAUCCGAAAUGCCGAGUUUUUGCUUGGGCAUUUUAUAAAAUAAGACUGUUAGAAUUUGAUUAGAUUUGUAGUUAGGUUCUGAUUAGAUUUAGAAUAAAUACUAAAAUUUAUUAAAAAUAAAUAAAAUAGAAUUUAAGUGUUAAUUGGGGCAAGAAUUUAAUUGUAUUAGGAUUGGGUGAGUUUUUGAUUGCUUAUUAUAUAUAUAAAGCACCAUUAUGUCAUUUGGUUGAGGUUAUGGAGUUGUAGUACCACCACUGCCUAGUACUUUGGCUAAGUGUAGAAGUCUUCUGAGUUUAUAGAAAUAGAAGAUGUGAGAGGUGUGAUAGAGAUUCAGAAAGACGGAUGCAUGGAAAAGAGAAGUCUUCUGAGUUUAUAUAGAAGGCGAGAGAGGUAUGAGAAAGAUUCAAAAAAUAAGCUCUGGUUGAAACUACUCUGUGUAGAAAAGGAGACGGAUGUAAUUCUUCUUUUGAUUAGCCAGGUGUAAUUAUUUUACCUAUAUUUUUUGUUUGAUUUUUCUCUUGUGCCUCCUUUUCGUUGAGGAAGCAAGUUUACAGUAAAAAUUCAAUUGGACAUUUUCACAGCGGAACACCAACAAUCAGUAUCGAACUAGUGCCGGAUUUACAACAUUCGGUAUCAUAACAGAUUGCGAAUUUUCAACAAUUGGUACUAGGAGGACAAAGUAUUGAAUUCUCAACAAAACCAUAGACUCUACUUCUAGUAGAAUACUCUGUCGUACGUUUUUGGAGUCCAAAAACAUACCAAUAAGCUUAAAAAAAGAAAACAAAAUAAAAGAGUGAAUGACACAAAAAAAAAAAAAAUGAUGAAACUCGUGGCAUUUAAACAAAUACACGAUUAUAAUUGAGAAGUUAUUUAAUUCAUGAAACCAUGUAUUUACGAAUUAAGAAGCUCCGGCAAAUUAAGAUUGCAGAGAUUCUCUGCGUGAUUACUCAACUUGCAAUCGUGGGCAAAGAGAACUAAAUUCUUUUGGAAUUAAUUGCAGAUUCUAAUCUCAAGCAUAGGUAAUAAAUAGGAGUUCUCCGCGUUUAGUUUAUGUUCUCUCUCUCUCUCUCUCUCUAAAGCAUCUUCAUUGUUUCACAUUUUCUUUAGUGAGUAAUCUUCAAAUACCCUCGCUGUAUCAUUUUGGACUUUGUUCGGAUUUAAAGAUAUAAAAAAUUUUCGAACAACCGGGUUUUGUUCAGAUCUACGCAUAAAUAUAUAUUAGAUCAAUACAUAGUUAUUCUAAUCGAAAAGUAAAAUAUAUAAUUGAAUCCACAACUGAAAACGACGUCCAAUUUGAGCGUAGGACGAAUUAAAUUUACUGCUAGGAACAAUAUGGUUGCUAACUAACACAAUGCAAUAGGCAUCAUAAAUUCUCGGUAUGGAUUCGCAGAUGCGCAUGGGAGUCCAUUAAUGCAUGCCCAUGUCCAUGAAGGAACAAAGCUAGCAAUAAAACAAGAAAUGGUCCGAAUCCGUUAGUUGUAUGGAUCCCCUCCGCUCGCCCGCAUCCUAGUCCCUUUUCAUACCUCGCGCGACCGUUUGGUAUGGAGUGUUGUCUAAUAUUGUUUACUUAGAACGAAUUUGGAUAACAGUUAUUAGCAGAUGAUAAGUGUGUAAUCUGUACAAUAUGUUCUCACUCAUGAAAUUAAACAAGAAAAAUAUUCUUCGAUUGUACUCUCAUCGCAUGCAGCAAAUGUGUUUUGAACAUUUUGUCUGUGUUCUCCAACGAAACCUAAUUAGUACCGACAACUAUGGCGAUCCCGCAUGUUGCGAUUUUUCUAAUAGUAAGUAUCUAUUAUGUACAAGAAUCAUAAUUGCGAGAAUGAAUCAGUUACCACAUCUAUCUUGUGACUCAUGUGAGGUCCAUGCACUCACCCAUAAAACACUAGUGAAAAAAUCGUGAUUUGUUCUAAGAUGAUAUUAUCUAAAAUACUACUAGGACAACCACUAUAGAAAAAUUCUACUUAGUAGCUUUUAUAUACAGCACAAUUAGAAGCUUCAAAUUGAUUUAUUUGAUUUUAGACCACAAAUUCACUCGUACUUUUCGCUAUACUUGAAAUUAAAGACUUUAAAUUUCUAUUUGUUAGCCACUUUGUUGUAGAUAACUACAUCUGAAACUUAAACAGAACUAUAGAUGAAUAGACCCAUAAAAGAAAAUUUUUUCUCUGUGUGAUAAAUUCUAUUUAAGAAUCGCAUCAGGUCAAUGGGAAAAACUUCUCAUAAAAGAAAAGGUUUUUUUUUUGGUGAUAAAUUCUGUCUAAUAUUGUUGGUGCAAAAAAAAGCACUAGUUGGUAGACAGCUUCAUACACGAAAUGGACUAACAUAGACAAAUUUAAAAAAUGACACGUGAUACACCGAAAGCCCCUGAAAAAGCACUUGGAAACGGAAAACCCCUAGGCGGGAAUGGAUGAAAAUGUGAGUAAAGAACUUAGGAAUAAUUCUCGCAACCAAUAAAGAUGUGACUGCAGUGUUCCCCAUGAUGUGAAUUGCUUAGUAACUGCAGUUUGACAACGGUACUAUAAAUAGUAUCAAGACGCUUGUAAUAAGGGUCUUACUUCUCUGUGAAUAAGAUGACCAUUUCUAAUUCUAGUAUUUUUUUUUAAUCUUCUAGGAGAAGAAUACUGUGUAACCUUUCCUUUCCGAUAGUUAUGAGCUUUUCUAGGAGUAGUUCAAUAGCUAGGAGUAAUUUAAUCCCUGUAACUUUUCAGCUUUUUAUAUAAUCAAUUUGGCUCUUCCAGCCGAGUCAAAUCCUAAAUCUCAGUUUGGCUUAUUGUAUUGAGGUAGAAUCUGGUUGAGCACGAUUCAUGCUCAACUGAAUUGCUUGAUCGUGGCGCACUUGAGUAUCAAUCUGAGAAUCGAUCCUUAUCAUGAAGGCAUACUUGACUUGGUCAACAUCUUUAUAAGUUCGGUUCGCAAUCCAAUAAGAAGAAUGACAUCAGGUCAACAGGAAAAACUUGGGUGGAGAGCUCCCGAAUGAAACCUUGUUGAGGAACCCACAAUUUGUUGUCACGUGUCUGUUUUGUUUCAAUUCAAAGAUUAUAAUUUUUUCUUUUAGGACUUUUAUUUUUUAAAAUUGUAGUAUUAAAAAACACAACCAAUUUUUAGAUGGAAAUAAAACUUGCAGGUGACAAUGGAUUGGAACCUUCUCAAUAAGAUAUCGUUGGAGAGCUCCUCGAACGUACUGAAGUUUUAUCCAAGAUCGACCACUUUUUAACCAUGUUGAAAAGUACAAAAAAUAAUUUUCUUACACAAUUUAAAUUUAUUAUCGCUAUAUUACACUUGAUUAAAUUAAUCGUUAAUACUCUUUUACAUUGCUUAAUAAAAUUGGUUAGAUAUAAAUCUUACAUGAAAUAUUUAUUACAAAGAAGAUUUUACCCUUUUUUUUUUUUUGCUUCUUUUAUUUUAGAUUUGAACUUAGUUGGAAAUAUAAAAUAGUUAGAUUUCAAAAUUGAGACCUCGGAUACCUACACUGGGGACGUUGGUUACAAGCUUCAAAUUUAACCAAAGAUAGCAAGGCAUUCUAAUCACCAACCUUAAUAUCUGCUCCCAAAUAACUUUAAAAUUGAUUAAUUUACGAAAAAUGCUGCUACAAAUCUUUCCUAAUAUUACUCUUAUAUUUAUUAUUAUAUUGAUGUGUCGUCACCUAGCUUACACACGCACUUUAAAGCGUUACAUGAGGGGCAUUAUGGCAAAAGAUGAAGCCUCUCUCAUUAGUAGGUUUAUAAUUAGCAAACUCCUUAAUUAAGCUUUGUCUUAUUAAAGAAUUAAUGAUAACUGAGAAUUAAUUAAUUAAUUAAUUAAUUAAUUGGUUUUAAGUGACAGGAACCACCCACCAGUCACGUGCCGCGUCCCGCGCGCCCACCGUCUCCGCCGUCAUGUCGCCGUUACCCCCGGUCCGCUCGGUCAAAAGGCGCCGAAACGGCGCCUGCCCUUAACGGCGCCGUUAGUUGACGCGCCCACUCGCGCCGCGCCACGUGGCCCGCAUGCUCCCGAGCUUGGAUUACGGUUACCGAAUAGGUGAGCGUAAGGGAACUAUCACCGCUCAUUUAAUGCUCUCUGAUUCAUCAGGGCAUGGAUCGUACGGCCCAAAUGCCGCCAUGUUGUAUCCGAGCGUCAGGUUGGUAACACCCAACCAGAGGUGCUGUAACUCUCUCUCUCUCUCUCUCUUUUUUUUUUUUACCUCCUUUUUAAUUUAAAAAAAAAAUAAUGAAAAGGAAAAGAGAUCUCCGAGAGAGAAGCUUGUCGUAUGUUCACUGUUUCCAUCAUCUCUCACCUUUAGAAAUCAUUGCAUGCACCCGGUGCACUGUACAUUACGUCAUCAUUCAUAAAAUGCUUAAAAUUGAAUAUGAUACCUUUUGUUUUAUGAACCGUAUAAAUCAUCAUGCCCUGGACAACUUGUAGACUAGAAAAAGAAAUUAAUUUGUACAUAAUACGUUUUUUUAUAAAAAUGGCACAUAUCCGUUGUUGAUGGGGAGAAUAUUUUUGAAUAUAUAUAUAUAUAUAUAUAUAUAUAAGAGCAGUGUGGUAUGGAUACAUCUGGUCCAAGCAAAUAAUUUCUCCUCACGUUUUUAUUUUAGUAGUAAUAAUAACACCAGCUUUGGCGUUAAUUCUUUUUAUUUUAUCCCACAACUCCCAUUCGCCUCUCUCUCUUCUCUCUCUCUCUCUCUCUAAACCGUUUCAUUCCCUGCUUUUUCUUUCGUUCUCUUCUGUUAUGUUCUCACUCCCCGCACCACCCCUCCUCCUCCUCUCCCAACACUCCUCUCAUUCCCUUUCCCUUUUACUCUCUCUCUCUCUCUCUCUCUCUCUCUCUCUCUCUCUCUCACAUUUCUCUUCAUACACAGUUAAAAAUUCAUAAAUUACAAAAUCAAGUCCCCCAUACUACAUUUUACCUGAUCUUAGUCUAGCUAUUAUUCCUCUUCUCUUCUCUCGCUGUUUUUUUUUUUUUUUUUUUUUUUUUUUUUUUUUUUUUUUUUUUUUUUUUUUUUUUUUUUUCUGGGGUAUUAAAGCACUUUUUUGAGCUGCAUUUUUCUCACACUAGUCCAUGAGCUUCUCCGGUAAGCUCUUUUUGUCUCCUUCUAUCUGUUGAGGACGAACGAGUCACUCUGCUCCACCACCUCCUCCUCCUCCUCCUCUCCUCUUCUUUUUUUUUUAUAUUUCCCACGCAGUCCACAACUCUUUUGCUUUUUUGUUGUGGGGAGAGAGCUCUUUUUGGGUUUGCGCAUGGAGAAGAAGCAGGGGUUCUUCUCGGAGCUGGUGCGGGGGCUCUCCCCGACGCGCUCCCGCGCGAAGAGCCCGGCGCGGGGCGCGUCGCACAGCGGCGGCGCGGCGGACGCUGCGGCGACGGCGAAGGCGCUGCUCCUCCUGCCGCGGCGGCGGAGCAAGGCGUCGGCGUCGGCGCCGGGGGCGGAGCCGCUCAUCGCGCGGUCGGGGAGCCUGCGGCCGCUCGGCGAGGCGCUCGCGCCGCUCAUGGAGGGGCCGGACCCAGACGGCGCCGCCGACGAGCUCCGGCGCGGCGGCGGCGGCGGGGAGAGCCGGAGGAGGGAUGGGUGGGGGAACUGGGUCCGGGGCCAGCUCUCCCGGGCGCCGUCCAUCGCCGCAGCGGGGGGCGGCGGCGGCGGCGUCGGCGCCGCCUCGCGCCGCCGCUCCGACCUCCGCCUCCUCCUCGGCGUGAUGGGCGCCCCGCUCGCCCCCGUCCACGUUAGCUCCGCCGACCCCCUCCCCCACCUCAGCAUCAAGGGCACCCCCAUUGUAAGCAAAACCCUUUAAAAUAAUAAUAAUAAUAAUAGUAUAAUCUCAUCUCCUCUUCCGCUAGCUUCUUCUCCUUCCGAUCGACCACUCUCGACCUAACCUUUGUGAUCUGCGACGCGCAGGAGACGUCGUCGGCGCAGUACAUAGUGCAGCAGUACACGGCGGCGUCGGGGGGCUUGAAGCUGCAGCGCUCGAUCCGGAACGCGUACGCGAUGGGGAAGGUGCGGAUGGUGGCAUCCGAAUUCGAGACCGCCACGAAGCUCAUCAAGAACCGCGGCGCCUCCUCCUCCUCGUCUUCUUCCUCGUCCUCGUCCUCGUCAUCUUCUUCCUCCUCCGAAUGCGGCGGCUUCGUGCUCUGGACGAUGUCCCCCGACAUGUGGUACGUGGAGCUCGCCGUCGGCGGCAGCAAGGUCCACGCCGGCUCCAACGGCCGCCUCGUCUGGCGCCACACCCCCUGGCUCGGCGCCCACGCCGCCAAGGGCCCUCCCCGCCCCCUCCGCCGCGCCCUCCAGGUAACUAACUAACUAACUAACUAACUAACUAACUAAUUGUAACCCAUCAUUCAUUCAUUCAUUCACUAGCCAAAUUGAUCAACUCGCCAAACAGGACAAACAAUUCAGAUUCAAAUUUAAGUGCCGCGGUACGCGAUCGUCCCGCGCACUUGCAUAUGUCACCACGUAAGGUGCUGUGCCGAGGACAAAUUAAACACCUAUAAUAAUAAUAAUAAUAAUAAUAAUAAUAAUAAUAAAAAGAAGAGAUCACGGGCGUCGCUACUAAUUAGAAUUCUCGCUUGAAUUUGGACGCCCGCAGGGGCUGGACCCGCUGACGACGGCGGGCAUGUUCGCGGGGGCGCGGUGCAUCGGGGAGAAGCGCGUGGGCGGGGAGGAGUGCUUCAUCCUGAAGCUGUCGGCGGACGCGCAGACGCUGAAGGCGCGGAGCGAGGGCCCCGCGGAGAUCAUCCGGCACGUGCUGUUCGGGUACUUCAGCCAGCGCACGGGGCUGCUGGCGCACGUGGAGGACUCGCACCUGACCCGCAUCCAAUCCCACUCGGGCGGCGACGCCGUCUACUGGGAGACCACCAUCAACUCGUCCCUGGCCGAUUACCGCCCCGUGGAGGGCGUCAUGAUCGCCCACUCGGGCCGCUCCGCCGUGACCCUCUUCCGCUUCGGCGAGACGGCCAUGUCCCACACGAAGACCCGCAUGGAGGAGGCCUGGACCAUCGACGAGGUCGCCUUCAACGUCCCGGGCCUCUCCCACGCCCACGACAAGAUCGUCUGGCGUGUCGAAGUCUAAUAAGUAAUAACCCCCCCCCUGUUCGAUCAAACCCUUCUAACUAACUUGUUCAUACUUACUACUUUCAACUGACUCUUUUUUCUCAAGUAUGAAUUACUUUUAGAUUAUUAUGUAUUAGGAGCUAAUGAAUUAAUUUUGAGUUUCGCUCUUUUUUUUACUCUUAUUAAUUCUCCGUGUUGGUGGUUGAGAAAUAUCUUUCACCAACUCGUCGAUUUUAGUUGCUAUGUUUAUCUCUCUUUCUUUCUCUCUCUUGUAAGGUUUUUAAGGUAGUUUGUAAUUUCCGCUGUUGCUAUAAACUUUGUGAGAAUGAAUGUAGGGAGUUGUGAGGUGGUAAAUUUGGAAUGUUUGAGUGUCAAGUAAUUGCUGAGGGGGUGUCACAUUUUGAUUGUGACCCAAUGUGGGAGGGGGGGGAGGGCGUUUCUGAGACCUGGGAUUGUUGUCUUGUGGGAGUUACUAUCAGUUAUUGAACGCUCACAUUUAUCUCGUUUGAUCACUUUUCCGUGUAUUAUGGUUUUGAAGUGUAUAUUUGGAGUAAGUAUGGUUGCUUUGGUUUCAAGCAAUUGGUGCUGUUGUCAAGGGCAUGUUUUUUCCUCCGCAGGUGGAGAGCGGAUCUCAACCGUAAAUAUUUAUUUUCGUUGUUUUGAUAGUUGAAAAUUAAAUUUAUCCAAAAUUUUUAAUCUGCUUCUGUAAAGAUGUUUGUUGUGGAGCUGACCAAACAACUACUAUGGCAUUUUAGGAAGCGUUUGGAUUGACGUAUUUGUAGAUUCAACGUAAGUCAAGUGUAGUGGUGUUUGAGUUUUCCUGAAGUGUGAUUAUUUUUUUAUUGUUUGUUUUGACAUAACUCGUACCGCCUGAAAGUUAAAUUCAAUCACUUCUGUUGUUUGUUUUGAUGUAACUUGAUACUGGUAAAAUUAGUUUUUUGAGUUUCGUUGUUUAUUUUGAUGUAAGUGGAUCUCAUUAUCUCCUAAAUAUAGUAAUAAAUUUACCACUAUAAAAUUUAAUCUAUUAUAUAAUUAUUUUUUUUAUUAUUAUUUAAAGAUAAUUCUAACCUAUUAUAAAGGAAGUAGACUUUAAGUUUUACUGUUUAAUAAAUUUUUUAGAGAAGGUUGAGUAUAGUGAAAGUCGAGUUCGGCACUUUAGAGGAGGAAGUCGAGAGUAGGUGAAGUGGAGCUCUAACGUAACUUGAGUUAUAUUAUACUUUUCACUUACAUCAAAAUAAAUAACAGAAGUGAUGGAACUUGAGUUCCAUCACUCCACUUACACCAAAACAAACGGGCACUUAACCAAAAUGCCUCCUAGUAGGCGGAUCCUGCUGAUGCAAGCAGCAGAAAUUUUCAUACACUGAUAUUCUGCUAUCUCUUAAAGUGUUCUUUUUAUUUUUAUUUGGGGGAAUUUUCACAUUUUGUUUAUUGUUUAAUGCAGAAUAUUAUAUUUUUAAUAACGGAGAAAUUGUUUUAGAAGUUGGAUCAUAAAUUAAGCCAUUUUCUUUAAUUUUAAGCAGCAGUAAAAUGAUAUUUAGCCAAAAUAAGUCUGAUGCUUUGGUUAGCGUUCGUUUGAGCUCUACUCUAUAGGGUGCAGUAUUAACUGAAAAAGUAAUAUCAUAAUAGAGCUAUUAAAAAAAAAAUGUUGAACUAGGAUAGUUUUCACAAAAUUCUUUUCACGGCAAAAUACAAAAAAAAAAAAAAAAAAAAAAAAAACAAAAUUAACGCAGAGCUGCUCUAAAAACUUUCUAACCCCUCUACUGGAGCUUAUUCCUGCUGGAAACCGAACAGAUCCUUAAUCCUUCUUUUAAUAGUUAUCCUUAAUAAGCACUUUUUGGGGAAUCUCAAACCAAUUCCUCUCUCUCUCUCUCUCUCUCUCUCUCUCUCUCUCUCUCUCUCUCUGUCAGAUGUGAUACUUGUUCCUACUGGGUGACAGCAUCUCAUGGCUUGUACACAGGAAAAGGGGUCCACAUCUCUCAACCCCUCAAGUAGAGAGAGAGAGAGAGAGAGAGAGAGAGAGAGAGAGAGAGAGAGAGGGUGAUGCAAUGCAAUGCAUUGCAUUGGGGGAUGGUGGCAUCUGUGACAGGCCUUAAUUUACCUUUACUGACCCAAAGAGGGACCCCUCCCAUGCACCUGCAUAGCCUUGGGAAAAGUGAAUGUGGAAAAUAUCAUUACGGCUAACACAGUUGAGGGAGUGGAUUUAAACUUUAAAAUGGGUCUCCAUGUGGUUUUCACCUUAUUCAUCAUUUGCUAAAAGCUUUUUCUAGUAAAAUUAGUACACACCUACUGGUAGGUGAAUUUGGUCUUUGAUACUGUUCUUCCAUGUUUGAUGUGGUAGUGUGCACAAUUUGUGAGGCUAGGAAGCUUCCACUCUUUGAUGGUGGAGUCAAACCUUGUUGAUUAUUGGGUGGUGCUUAUUUGUGGAAGGAAAUUUUAUCUGAUGAGAGGUGUGAUCCUGGGAAGGGGUGGACUAAUUGAAUGGAUUAGCUGUGCCUUUUUUUUUUCUUCAUUCUUUGAUUCUAAAGAUGUUGGAAUUGAUUUCCAAAAAUGCUUUUAAUGAUGUUUUAGUUUUGUUUUCAUAACUAAUCACCAUUCUAAUCUCAGAAACUCGUACUGUAUAAGAUGCUUACUCAGAAUUAGAAGAAUCAUAUAUUUUCAUUAUUUCUUACUAUAAUAAUGAUAAGAAUACUUUCCCCUUUAUUUCCAGUUAGUGGACUAAAUUUAUAUAGAAAAGUAGUUCAAUAAGAGAGAGCGAAGAAAUAAUUUUAAGUUGAGUUUAGAAAAAAAGGUUUAACAUUUAUUCUAAUAAAAAAAUAGUUCUGCUUUUCUAUAAUUCUAACGUGGGGCGCUCGAUCAAGAUCAGAAAGAAAAUUAGAUCAUCAUAAUAAGGAGAUUGUCACUUCUUAUUGCGAAGGGUCGGACGAUCGUAAUGAAUAAACGGUCUACAGACAACUCAAAAAAAGUUUUUUUUUUAAACAAAAGAGUUUCAAUAGAUUCAAAUCCCUUGUAAAUGAAUAUUGUGAUUCUAGGCUUAAAUAAGAGGCUAUCGCUUUCCAUUCUAUUCACAACUAUAGUAAAUUUUUUUUUGAGAUAUAGGUAGCACGCUACCCGCUUCGUUUAUUUUAUUUAGAAGUAAAUUUAGCUGGAAAUGUAAAUCAACUAGGAUGCGAACUUGGAUUUCGGGUACCAACCACCAAACCCUUUGCCACUUGCUCUAGGGACGGUCGGUACAACUAUAGUAAGUUUGUAACUUUUCUUCCUAUGGCUUGCACAUUUUACCAUGAUAAAAGAGAUACACUUAGCUACCUAUCUGUGAAAACAAUUCCUUUUUUACUUUACCAUGCCUGAUAUAUGGCAAAUAAUACUUGAAGCAACAAACUUUACAAAAAAGAAAAAGUAGUAUUAGAUCCACUUGAUCAAAAUAUGCACCUGAUUACUCUUUGUAAUCCAACUUUUGUUUGAUGCAGCCAAAGCAUGAGGAUAGGACAGACACCAUGAUGUCAAGCAGCUUUGGAAUUACUUCACAAGGCUUUAUACUCAUAACUUUGAUCUUUAAAAAGCUUCCUCUUGUUGAUUGUGUAGUAAAAGUGUACAUCUAUAAUACUAUUCUGUUCAAAAAAUAAAUAAAAAAAGAUCCCUAAUGCCACAAGCCUAGUGGCAAAAACUUAGACAGCAGGGAAUCUUUUUAUUGUUAUAAUAGAUGUUGUCAUAAACAAAGAUGACUGAAGAGCCCAUCAGAGUUUGACUUGAGGAAACCACUUCAUGAACAGUGAGUAUACAAGUUUUCUUGCCAAUUUCCUUUAGUUGAGAAAUUCUGAUUUCUCCAACACUGUUUUCCAGCGGAUUAAUCUAUAAGGCAACUUGAUGUGGUCAGUCAUAAGUUGCUUAAUUUGUCUUAAGUAUUCGGUUCGAUUUCAUACCUCGUUUAUUUAAUGGGUUAAAUUCGCAUGCAUUAUCUCCCUUUUUGUCGGUUAAUGAUCAACUCUUAAUCUAAUUCUUAACCAAUGAAAUGUAUUGACAUGCUUCAUUUCCCUUCAAUCUCUUAACUGUCUCUCUCUCCCCCCAUCACUUGAUCUACCAAGUAGUGAGUAAAGACAUUAUGAUGCUAAAAUACCUCUCCUUGAAUAAUAGACAAGAACAUGUGAUGGAAUCUAAAGGGCAAAAUCUCUGAUCUGUAGCUAUUUUUGAGUAUCUUGGGAAACUGGCUUUGCAAUAAUAGUCUUUAGGGUGAAGGCUAAGUUUUGGUAUUCUCUAAUGCUACCAUCUCUGUAAUGUGUUGCAUCUCUCUAUUAAUAUUCCUUCUCAUUUUAAGUCAUAAUGCAGUUAGUUGAAUCAAACAACUAUAUUUCUAUCUUUCAGACUGUUAGCGUAAUUGGUAGAGACAUUCAUUCCUCUUCUUAGUAAUGUUCCUCCUCUUACUAAAACUCCAAUCAUUCCUCUUCUUAGUAAUGUUCCUUCUCUUACUAAAACUCCAAUCCAAUUCCAAUUUCGCACUACGACUCCUUGCAAUUUACUUGACCACUGCACAGAGUUCUCCUAAAUGUGUGAUAGAUCGAAUAGUCUUCAAAUGAUUACAUAGGGGGGACACUUAGAAUUAAGAAUCAGCCUCUUUAUCAAAUUGUCUCCAAAAGGAAGCAUAAAUGCUAAUAUUGUGCAACAAACUUUGCAUAUUUUUUUUUAAAAAAAGGAGAAGAUCCAGGUCAUGUUGAUGUCAUAGCACUUGGCAAACAACUCACUUUUCAGAAUCAGACAAUGUCUUUCCUCCUGUGCCCACACCACAAGUUAUAAUUUUAAGUGAUCUUCACUAUCUUGAUGAAAUUAUUCAUUAUUCUCCGAAAACAUCGAAUAAUUUCAGGGCCUUAAAAGAAAAUUCAGAUGUCAGUAAGGAUGUGUUCCCCCCAUGCCACAUUGCUAUUGCUUUAACCUACAAGCUUGGUUUAUCAGAUUGAGGGCAUAUGGUCUUAUACUAUCUUUAGGGCUUGAAUAUGUUGGGGUUUGGAUUAGACCAUCACUUAGUGGGACCAAGAAAGCAUAUGAUUAUGUUAGAGAUGUGAAGUUGAUUGAGGAGUUUCCAAGGGACAAUGCAAAAGACUCUGGGCACUCAGAAAGGGACUAGUUACAGGGAAAACUCCUUGUGGUAUGAGGGGAAAAAGCCAUGUAAAAGGCCCCAGAGAAAAACUCUCCAUGUCAAAGAUUGGAGUGGCAUAUUCUCUUUUCAAUCACACUACAUCACUCGAAGUGAAAAAUAUCGAACAAACCAGGGUUCCUCAAAUAAGGCAGAAAACUGAAAAACCUAAGGGGCCAUAAUCAAGAAGAAAUCUCACCUCCCACCUUAAGAUUUUUUUUUACAAAAAAAACAUGAAUUCUACACCGAAGAGAUGUAUCAAGAUGGGAAGUUCGAGAGUGUAAUGACCCAGCACAUCAGUGCUAAUAAUAACUUGUCCGGACCAAACACCACACAUCAUAAUCAUAUUAUAAUAAUUCAGUUCAUGAAUACUAGCAACUUGAUAAUUAAAAACUAUCGACCUAAAAUGCUUAAACUCAAGCUAUUAAUACUAGUAUGCUUGGUCUUUCUACACUCACAUGCUCUCUCUUUCUCAUUCAAUAUAAACUUAUUGGGACAUCGCAGAGAGUGCCCCAAAGGACCUUUCCUGAAAACAAGAUAAUGGAAGUCUUAACUACACCCUCAUCGACACUUACGUCAUACUCAAAAAGAUCCAAAUUGUAGUUAACAAAACAAAUGAAUAGAUUUUCUCCUGAUAAGAAGGGACAACGAACAUUUUUUACCUGAAUAAUUCUUGUGUUUUGUAACUUAUUCAAAAUUUUUGUUCACAGGUUGUAAUCGAGCUUAGUUUUAAGUCGCAUUACAAAAGAAAACAUCCAUGCAAUUGUGGACAUAAGAUCACAAAAAUGAAUAUGCUCAGUAUUGCUUGGCAUUGCAAGAAGAUUUCUACCACUGCAGUUGCUAGGACAACAUAGAUUAGAGAUCAUAAUGGCAGUCAAAGGUUCCGUUAAGAUUCUCUCCGCGUGGAAAAAGUGAAAGAUGAUAAGAUGUUUCUGAGAUCGAAAUUAUGAUGGGCAAUUGAAUCAGCAGAUGCCAUGCAUAACAUUAUGAAAUCCGACAGGAAGAGCCCACCUCUGAAAUUGACUAAAACAUAAAACAGACAGCAGACGUACUAUGACCAUUCAAUUUUCCCUUCCGAAAGCAGUAUAUUAUUGGGCAAACAGAAGUUCUAGAACUUACAAUUCGCAGUGAAAAGUUAAAAAAAAGAGUGUCCAAUCUCAAAAAGAGAAACUCCAAUUUAGAAUCCAUACUUGCGUUCAUGUAAAAAUUUCCUACUGUACAUGUUUCACAUAUCACUUAGCCUUAUUUUUUUCGUUAGGCUGAUUAGCCUUAUUUUUUUCAUUAGGCUGAUUAUUUUGGCUUAUAAGGAUAAAUCCUUUACAAGCCCAAUGUACUACUUCUAUUACUGAAUCACUUACAGUGUUGGUUGGCCUUCUUACUUUCCAAGAACAAUGCAUGUUCAAAACUGCUUUGCUGAGGUGGAAAUUCAGAGAAAUCUGAUACGCAUUGAUUUUGAAAGCACAAAAACAUGCACGUGUGCAGGAUGUAAAGAGAGGGAGACCAAAAUCUUGGAUACCAAAUGUUCAACUGUUCACACAACAGACUGGAUGGCAUAGUAGAAAGUGACACAGAACAAUGAAGAAAUGAUCUGACAAACUAGCUUGUACCACCAAACAUGAGAGGAUGGUAUGUUAAAAAAGGAAGAAACCUUUUUUUAUAUAUUUUCCCCCGAAAUGCAUUACAGAAGUCGAAGUCAUUGAAUUACAAAACAGAAUAAGGCAUACACAUCCAAGAAAGAUAAAAAAAAAACUCUAUCCACCGAAGUGCAUAUAUGAAAGUGAAAGAAAAGAAGGUGAAAUUUGGAGACAACUAACAGCUCAAAAAGCAUCUGCAUUAGUACCUUAGCUUCUGUAGCAGAUACAAGGCAACAUCUAAGCCAUUCUUUGAAGUCAUGGUUUACACUUGGUACAAAAUUUAUCAUUUUCUGAAAUGUGGAUUGAGCAAUCCUGAGAUUUCAAGAAACCCAACACGUUCUUUCCCUCCAAAUAUGUUCUUCAACUUCUCAUCACAGACUAUUAUCCUCCUGUUUUCUGGAUCCUGUUUAUAAAGAGAGAAAGAAGACAAGGAAUUAAGAAAAGAUAAAACAGUUAAUGCAAGCUAAUUCAAUUAUCUAAGAAUUUAGAAGAACAGAAAGACAACCUCAAUUCAAACACAGCAAAAUUCCACAAGAGAAUAUGAAGAUAGAGAAAAAAGAAAAGGUAUCAUAAGAAGGAUAAGCUUGAACACUCGCACACCAAUUGUCAGUGCCUAAAAAACAAUGAGAUUCAGAUUCGAUAAAUUCCCAAAAUUAGCAUCAUAUACCCAAAGAAAAUGAAAGGCAGAAGUGCAGACAAUUUACUAUAUCGACAAUUCAAUGUUUAGCUCCAGUAGCAGUUCUCAAAGUGAGGAUGAAAAAUCUUCCAUAUCUCAAAUUUUGAAAAUUAGAAUUAGAUUUUUAUCAGGAGUAUUCGUGGCAUUGUGCACAGGUAUAUGUGAAGAGCCUAUCAUAAACGUCAGCUUACUAAUCAUCAAAUUACUGGUUCAUACCAAAAUUGGCCCUCAAGUUAUUUGAUGUUUUUUGCUUUCACGUUUUUUUAAUUAUGUCGAUUAUUCACCUUAAAAGAAGUGCAUACUAUAUAAUAUAUAUAGUAUAUAUAUUUGUCACUCUUUCAUAUUUUGAAUCAGAUAGAUACUCGUACAUUGUAUCUAUACAACAGUACUACAUAUACUCUAACAGAAAUUAUGGACAGACUAUAAAUGCAUCUAACUUAUAUGUUUCCACUUUGUGAUUGUUUUUCAAUUCCACAAACACCCAAAACAACAGUUUCCAGGUUCUACAGAUUAAAAGAUCCGUAUGUUUCAUUCCAUAUGGUACUCAUUAGGCACAACUAUGGUAUAUGAUGGCAAUAAAUAUCAAUAAAUUAUUUAGGAAGUAUCAAUUGUUGGAUUCCAAACACCAUAAAGACCAUUCACAUGCCUCAUUCCUCAAUCAUCAUAAGAUCAACAUUUCUCCUUGUUUCUUUCAUAAAAAUUUAAAUUUCAGCUAAAACCGAAUGUUCUGAGCAAAGCAGGUGGGUCUUCUUCAAUGAAACAAGCUUGCACUAUGGAUUCAGGUAGAACUAAUAGUUGUUUGGCCUGGACAAAUUCCAAAUUUGUCGAAACCGAGCAGAAAUUAGCAGCAAUAAACAAUUUGCAGCUCUUGAAACUAAAUGAGGCUCAGUUAGACUUAACCUAGACAUAAUUUGCAUGUGCAAUUUGCUGAAAUUGGCUGAAAUCUGAUAUUACACAUUUUGCACUCUGUUCUAGCUAAAAAGUAAAGCAAAGUAUUCAACUAUAAACCCAAUUUAAGGCUUUUGUGACUAAUAUCUGCAGUCAUUUUAGAUUUUACUUGCCAAGACUCUACUCCCCGAGAAAUUCCAUCUGCCUAAUAUAAUUUGUCAAAUGUAUGACGCAAUGUGCAUGCAUCUUUGAAUUAUCAAAUUUGGUAUUACAUAUUAUUUAUUCAGCAAUUCCUCAACCGGAAAAUUACUAGAACAAAUGGUGUUUCUCAUUCUUGAGUUCAUCAUUUUUUACAACAAUUUUAUAGCUAAAGGAACUCCUUCCUAUUACGACAAACACACAAAACGGAAACAAAAUGGCGAACAUGAAACAAUCAAAACCACAAGUAGAAAAUAAAGAGAACACGGAUUUACGUGGAAAACCCUUUGCAGGGAAAAACCACGGGCGAGGAAGGAGAGAACUUCACUAUCAAACGAAAAAGGGAAUUACAAUGUUCAGCAGAUUACAACCAACCACGAUCUCAUGCCUCUAGGGCAAAAACGAAAAGAAAACUCAUAACAGGUUUCGGAUCCGAUCCCUCUGCUAUCCACCACAGACAUUCAUUUUUCCUUCACAAUUUUAUUUUUUUAAUUUUGGUCGCACCGCGAAACUGUCGGCGAGUCGAAAAACCCGAACUUGAGUCGAUUAUUAAUUUCGAGUCACAUCUAACGCUUCCCGUUAUUUCCUUGGUUCCAUUCCACUCUUUGUAUGAAGUUUUCUCGACCAAAAGUGUAUAACAACAAUAUAACCGUCCACCUUCAAUCCACAAUAGAAAUUACCAGAAGUAGUACCUUUCAAUUGUGCCUAAAGGAAGGUCCUAAGUACUCACAUUCACAUCGUCGAAGUUAUCUAAGGCAGUAAAAAGAUGGUUUUUUAUGAGCAUCUAUAAUCAAUCAAUAGCACUUUUUAUGACUUAAAAAUUACAUUCUGAUACUCCCUGCCAACAAAAAUUACACGAUAUAGCAUCACACCGCUCCCAAUUUCAGCUAGGGUGAAACCAAUACUCCUAACACAAUUCCAACAACUACUAUCCCAUUAAAAUACUAACACAAGAAACAGUAAAAACUAUACAGGACUAAAGGAAACAAAAAAUAAGAUGUCACAAACCCUAGCAGGAUCAACAAAAAGGGCGCACCUGGAGAUUGUUCUCUUUGAUGUAAGCCCAUAUCAGCUUGAGCGCCUGAGUUCUCGGGAUCUCCUCCACGCCCAGCAACGCCUGGAGCUCGGGCGAGAUCGGCCGGGGCUUCGUGAUCCCCCUCGGCCGCCGCUUCCCCUCCGCCGCCGCCUCCUGCGCUGCGGCGGCGUUCGGAGUCACCGCCGCGCGCAGCGCCACCGUCCUCGGCGGCGCCGCACCGCGGGAGAGGAGCGCGCGGCGUGCGAGCGACGACGGGGCCGGGUCCCCGGAGACGAACGCGGCGGAGCAGCUCAGCGCCGCCAUGGUCGGAGCUCGCGGAGACGAGGCGAUCUCAAAGAGUAGGGUUUGAGAGGGUUAGGGUUUGAGGAGACGAUGAGAGAGAGAGAGAGAGAGAGGGAGAGAGUGGAGAGUGCGGGAACGGGACAGGUACGAAAUAUUCGAUUCUUUACGAAGAAAUUUGGACCGUCUGAUAGGUUAGAUCUUUCGGAUUCGCACCCAAGCAACUAAUGAACGGUCGUGAUCAUCUGAUCCACGUGGCACUUUGUUAUUGGGGGGGCCAUGUGACACCUUAUCCUCCGAAAGGUACAGGACCAUCCUCGUAAAGCGAUCGUAAGCGGUCGUAAGCGAUCCACCGUUCAUCAAUCCUGAUGCCCAAUAUUCGACGGCUGAUCUAGUUGGAUGGUGUAUAGCACAUUCCGUAUGCGUAUACAUGCGAAACAUGGGCUUGGGCCUUAAAAGUCCACCCACUUUUUUAGGAGUCGAAUGUUAUUUCAAAUCCAGCCCAUUAAGAAAAAUACGAAUUUGGAGCACCCAAUUUUUAAAAUUUUAAAUUUUUAAAAUUUUUUGAUUCAAAUUCAAGAAAAUAGCUGCUUGUUUGGUUUCGUUAGAACUCCCUCCAAAAUUAUUAUUUGAAAAGUGAUAUUUCUUUUGAACAUCUUUUUUUUAUUGAAAUUCUCUCCACGGUAUUUUUGCUCUAGAAAAAAUGAAUAAUUCAAUUUAAAAACAAACAACUGAUUUUAGAAUCUCAGUUAUUUAGCGAAGAAGCUCGGUGCUCAUCUCCGUUUUCUAUAUAUAAUAGAAAGAAGCAGAGAGACUUUUUUAAUUAAUACAUGACUACUGCUUUGUAGUAAAGAUAUAGUUAUCGACCGAAGCCAAAGAGACAUUGAAAAAAGAGAAUAUAUGGUUUAGAAUGUGGAAAUAAUUUCGAACAAAGAAUGAGUUUAGCGUGGCACUUAUGCUAUCCUUGAGUUCUAUGGAAUUUUCGACAUAAAAUAACUCAAAUAAUUUGCAAAUGUGACUAAUCAUAAUGCUUACCUAUAUAUAAUAACUCCAGUGUCAAUUGAGAUUAAAAUUAGUGUUAUCCUUAUUUUAUAGGUCAACAAUUUUGUUGUUCCCUUAUUUUAUAUACACUAAAAUAAUCUGUUUUCGCCAAAGUUCUUAUAGACAACUCUAAUAAUUAAAUAAGACUCUACUUAUAUAGGGAAAAAGAUUCUCCCAAUUAUACAUUGUCAAUUGUAAAUUGUUUACACUGCAUUUUCUUUUUACAGACUCAGAAGGACCUUGCAUUUGCUAUCAACAUAUAUAGCAAAUGGUCAAUCUCUAGUUGUUUUUUGUUUUUGUGGUUAUAUUCAUGUAUAGUAUAUUACUUCAUUGAGAGAAAAAAAAAAGAAAAAAGAAACAGAUAAUGUAAUUCGAGCGUCAAUACAAUUUGAUGAUGGGAUGGAAUUUAUUAUCGCCUCAUCAGAACUGUUAGUUUUCAUCAAUGAAAGUGUGAUUCUCUUAUGAGCACCAGUAUUAUAUUUCUUAGUAUAUUGUUACGUAUUCACAUAAUAUUGCCCUUUCACGUUACCACUAUGUUGGUAUAUAUAUACAUAUAUAUGGAGUUGAGCUAGAAUAUUAUCGAUAGCAAACAGACUCUGUUGCCAUCCAUUUGUUUUCGAUGAUGGAGCCUUCAAAUCGACAAUCGACAUUAUUGAACAUGAUUUAUAUCACUUGAAGUAUUUAAAAAUUAAAUUUUAUACAUUUUUGAUCGAUAUUAUUCUCUUAUCCAUCGAGUAGACACAAAAAUGAACGACUGGAAAUGAAUAUUCUUUAAAAAAUGAUGAUUGGAGUCUUGUAAUCAAGAUCAAGAGUAUAGAUCUUAUUUUAUAUAAUUUAAAAAAUUUUCUAACAAAAAAUCAAUUGAUUUGGAUAUAUCUUUACGCCGUUAAACGAGAAAACGCUUCAUAUCGACCAUUAAAAUUACAAAUUUUGAAAUCCUUUGAUCAUUAGACAAAUGAUGUCGAAAAGAUUUGAAAUUUGAUUUUUAAACACUUCAUAUAGUAGAGAUUAUGUUCAACGAUACCGAUCGUCGAUUUAGAGGCUCUAUCAUCGAAAACAAAUAGAUGACAACGGAACCCGUUUGCUAUCGAUAGUAUUCUAACUCAACUCUAUAUAUAUAUAUAUAUAUAUAUAUAUAUAUAUGAUAUGGGAUCAGUUUGAUUGGAAUAUAAAUUUUAGCAUGAUGUUAUGUACUAUAUUUCGAACGAUGGGCACAUGGAGAGGGGGAAAGAAAUUUAAAUAUCCCAACGGUCGAGUGAGAGGAAUCGUUUGGUUGGCACGUACCAAUCAAUCACCCGGAAACCGUUGGGGACAACUUAGUCCCAGCUGUAACACGUCCACCUUCUCGAGAAUAUCCUUGCAUGUCCUAGUUCUCGUAUGAUUAAUGCUAUUCGCGCCUCUUUAAUUAAUUAAUGUAUCUUAAAAUAUUGUUGAUGAAUUAAUUUUGUAAUAUCUGAUACUAAGUAAUUGUUUAACCUUACAAUGUGAGCGAUUAAUUGUGAUAGGAGCAAAUCGAAUUUGUUAGUUUUAUCAAAUUUAGUUAUCGAAAAAUAGCAAGCUUUGAUAAGAUUUAUAUAUAUGUCAAAUCAGAAUCAAAUUUAGUAAUGAACCAAUCUAAUUAUAUAUGUACCUUAAAAUAGCCAAGAAUAUUAUUGAUAAGUCAGCAUUAAUCUGGCCUAUAAAGGCCUAUUGACUAUUGAGUGCCUCAAAAAUAAUACUUGAUACGGACAUUACUUAAGCAAUUAGCUAAACAACUCAAUAGUUGCCACAUAAAUAAUAUUGUUGAUUCAUUGGCAGUUUUUUUUCGAUCUUUUUUGCGAUGCAUGCAAUAUUGCCUCUUCAAAGCUAGCAUCCAAUGUCUCUUGAGAACAAGCAUGGCAAAGAGAUAGAAAUAUAUUGUAAAUUAAAAAAAAAAAAACUCCCCAAUGUAAAGGGCCAAUGAUUUUUUUUUUGAGAGAGAGAUAGGUAGCACGCUACCCGCUUUGUUUAUUUCAUUUAGAAAUAAACUUAGCUGGAAAUGUGAAUCAACUAGGAUUCGAACUUGGGUCUCGGAUACCAACCACCAAGCCCUUUGCCAAUUGCUCUAGGGAUGGUCAGUAGGGUCAAUGAUUUUUAAUUUCUAUGAGCUAUCUUCCUAUAACAUCUAAUUUAUUUGACUAAAUAUUAAGGUAAUGCCGAUAUGUGGAUGAUAUAACAUCUUAAUUAUUGAUGCAUCAUCACUCAUGCAUUACAUCUAUAUUAAUGAUUUAUCAUAUAUUUAAACAAAUAAGUUGGAUCGAUUAUAAGAUUUAAUUACAAUAAUUCUAAGAUUUUGAGCAAAAAUUUAUAAUAAAUUAAAAUUUGAAGAUUAAAAUAUUACCCACCUCAUAAUUCGAGGACUAAGCGUGUAAUUUAUCAUUUUUAUUCGAUGGUCUAUUACUUAUUUUUUUUGAAGAUGCCUGUAGAAUGAAAGGUCCGUGAGACAUGGCCACAAAUAUUUUUCUAUGUAAAAUUUUAGAUUUAUAAAGUACUUAGAAAAUUUAUUGCUGGCAUUAAGAGUGUUGGUAUAUUUUAUAUUGGGAGGUAGAUUAGUAUUCCGCUUACUCGAUGAAAGUCAAAUUGAAUCUGUCAUAAUUGAGAUAUAUGGUGGUUGUUUCCAUAUAUCGUAAUUCAAUUAAUUUUUUUUCUUUCUAACAGUUUAAAAUUUUAUCAACAAUUCGAUAAAUUGUAUUAGAACACGACACGAAUUCGAUUGCCAUAUUAGAACCAUGCUUUAAAGUGCCAGUACAUUAAGAACGUGAAAUUUAAUUUGAUACUACAAUUUUAUUUGGAUACAUAUAUAUUUAUAUUCAAUAUAUCCUCUUGAUUUAUUAAAAAAAAUUAUAUGUUUUGACAAUGAGAAAAGUAAUCAAAUAUUUAAAAUAAAAUAUUAUAUUUUUUUAAUUUUAUUUUAAAAAAAUAAAAUAAAUUAUUUGGGAGGUAAAAUAUACUGUACUAUUAAAUUAUGAAUAAUAGGACCCCCAAAGGCCCAAACCCUGCAGUUCUAUUUAUCCCCGCCCUUCUCUCCCUCGCUUUUCCCUCCACUCCCCCUCCCUUUCUCCUCUCCUCUCCCAACAAUGCUCGGGGAUCCUCCCCCCCUCCUCCUCUACCUCCCUCUCCGCUCUGCUCUCGCCCAAUCCCCCCCCGCCCUCCAAGGCCCCGCCGACGCCGCGGUCCAACCAGCCCUCGGCGGCGGCCGCCCCCGUGCCCUCGCACCGCCGCCCCCGCGCCAGCCGUCGAGGCCGCACCAGCCGCAGCCGAAGAAGGCCCGCCCCGAGCGCCCGGAGCCGCCGCGAAGACGGCGGAGCGUGCCAGCCCGGCGCCGACCGAAGACGGCGGGAGGUUCCGCCCGGCGCGACGACGACGGCGGAUUCGCCGGCGCGGGCCGAGCAAGCGGAGAAGAAGAAGAGCGCCCCGCCGCGCGCCGAAGAAAGAGAGAAGAGGCCGCACGCCGCGAGGCCCCCGGCCCGCCGCGUCGCCGCUAGCCCGCGCCUCCGAGCCCGCCGGUCCCGCCCGCACCGCUCCGUCGCGACGCCAACCACGGUUAGGGUUUCCUCUCUCUCUCUCAUCCUCUCCUCUCUCUCUCUCUCUCUCUCUCUCUCUCGUGAUCGGAUCAGAGGAUCCGACGGCCCACAUUGGCUACUGCGCACGAUAGCGGGACGCGCGGCCUCGACGAGUUUUUGGCGCGAAAAGCGCUUUGCUUUUGGACGUGGACCAAAUUUCUCCUCCUCCGCUAACGUGCGCGGCGCUCCGACCCCUCGUUCCGCGCACGUUAGCAUGAAAGACUAACGUCCAGCUACCUUGCGCCGCCCCGCGCAAAAAUAUUGGAUAUGGGUUGGUCCAAAUAUUUUUUUUUUUAUGAUAACGGCCCACAAAAUGAGACAACCACAUCUACGAAUCAUCACGAAAGGUCGUAUGAAUUCAACCUCACAGUAGAUAGGCCCAUUACUGUUCGACGCGUAACUAGCACGAAUCUUAAAGGCAUAUGCAUGAUAAAUAAACCUGGCACGUUAGGUUCAUCCCCACCCUUAUCUAAUAUUUAGGCUUAGUUUGCUAUUGAAGUCUAUCUAACGUUAUUAGAUAAAAUAGAAUUGAGAAAAAAAUAUAUAAAGAUAUGCUUCUGCGUUUUUCGAUGGGACACAGAAAAUAUAUCAUAACCGACUAAUCGUAAUAUGUAGAACGUAAUAUUACGUGGAUAUUUUUCCAACGUACUUUUCCACCGCAUUUAACGUAAUUUUUUCGUAAUUCCAAACGAAACCUUAAUCUGAGCACGACACUGCUGUUAAGCUGUUUCUAAUCACACGUUCUUAUUAAAAAUUUAUAGAUUUAUGCACUAAUUAUUAUUAUUAUUAUUAUUGUUGUUGCUUUGAAUGCAGAGUGGAGGAGUGAGAACAAGGAUGGGAGGCGUGAUCGGGGGGUGGGCCCUGCUGUUGUUGGGCUCCGUCGUCUUAUUCGCGUAGGUCGGAGCGAGGGCAGGAGGGGCGCGAUGCCGCAUAAAAAAUUUCUGCGUCUCUUGACUCCAGCUGUUGUUGCGGUUGUUGUAAUAUUUUAUUUUAUUUUAUUUUAUUUUAUUUUGUUAUGAGGAGGAGAAGGGGAGAGGCUGUGUACUGGAAUUUGGGAGAUCAUUAUUUAUUAUUUGAUUACAUUACUACCAUUACUACUAUUAUUGUUAUUAAUUAUUUAGAUCUGCUUCUACAUGUUCCAUGUGACCAUGUGAUGUAUUGCAGCUAAUUUCCAUAGGUGAUUUGAACACCCAAAAAAAAAAAAAAAAAAAAAAAAACAAAAAAAAAAANAAAAAAAAAAAAAAAAAAAAAAAAAAAAAAAAAAUGUUCUGGUACUGUUAGUACCCUGAUCUGAAUUGUUGGCCUUCAAUAAUGCGUUUUGCAAACUCGUGUAAUAUUUUUAAAUCAUAUUUUUUAGAGACGAGACGUGCAUUAAUCUUUGAAAACCCUAAUGAGGGCAAUAUUAUGAGGAGUCUGUAGCAGUGCUGUUUAUUAUAACUUAUCAUUUGAAGGCCAACAAUUCAGAUCAGGGUACUAACAGUACCAGAACAUUUUGAUGUGAUAAUAGCAGAUUACCAGAAGCCAAAAAGAGGGAACUACACAUGCCGAAAUUUAACCAAAACAAAUUAAUAAUUGCUCAUUGUGAGUUUGAUCUAGAAGUAACUGUUUGCCGAAUGCGCAGUUGCUGCUUCUUGGAGUAAUAAGCCAUUAUAGAGCCAAACUAAACAAGCACUUACCACAAAACAGAUCAUAGAGCCAUCAUCUUACCAAAGCUGCGGAUUACUUAUUAUCCUAUGUUCCGAUUCUAUGUCAACUAUAUCAACUGCUUAAGCAUAAAUCAUAAUGUCUUAGAUUAGAAAGAAACAACAGAUACACCAACAACAACAACAACAACAACAACAACAACAUGAUCCUCGGCAAUGGUAACUAAUACUAAAAAAUCAAUGGCUUCAAAAGGUCAAGACGCAACUUACAAGUAACAUGAGAACUUGAAAUUGACUAUUAUAUGAGUUUAAUAUCCUUAAAAUUUAUACUUGCAGUUGAAGUAUGCAGGCUGACAAAGGAUUUCGUAAAGAAAACAUUCAACUUUCACGAAAAAGGAUAAGCAUGCUUACAAAAGGUACAGAGAGCAGAAAAGAUCUUGAAACUAGUCAAUGACUAACUGGAAGGAUCUUGGAGAACAAAUUGUGGGGAAAAUUUUUUUUUGAUGUCCACAAAUCAUAGCAAAUAUUGUUAUUGAUUUCAAUACCUCUUUGCCAGCUGCUGUUUGAAUUACACUUUGCAAUUUUUUCUAGUAUAUCUACAUCUAACAAGUUGACAUAUAUAAUACAGUUUACAAGGAAACUAUAUGUGUAUCAGUAUUAAAUGAUGAAUACAGGCCAAUGUAACAGAGCUUAUUUGGACUGAGGAAUCUAUGCAUACACAUCUUUGGAGGGCAGAUCCUCAAACAACACUCCCACAAACAAGAGCGGCUUCGCCAAGUAGUUUAUAUAAUUUGCAUUCUUUAGCUUGUAGAAAUCAAAUGCUAAGCUGACGAAUUUAAUGUGCGAAUGAACUCACUUCCUCAGAAAGUAUGGAAUUCAUUCUUGUAAUUUAAACUCAGGAGCCGAUUUUCCCCAGCCGUUCCAAUAACCUAAUUUGUUCAUCCUUGGAUAUUCCAGGAUUGAGCUUAGGAAGAUUAGAAAUGAAAGCUGUCGCUUCUUCCUUCCUUCCGUGCUUACAAUACCCAUCUACGAUCGAAUUGUAAGUGUUUGCAUUAGGUCGGCAGCCAUGCUUGACCAUGUAGCGGACUAGAUCAAUAGCUUCCACAAACAUCGCAUUAGCUACAUAACUAGCAACAAAUGUAUUAUAGGUCACAAUAUCAGGCUUGAGCCCUGAAGCCUGCAAUUCCGAGAAAAUCCUCGAAGCAUCCUUCAUCCUGCCUUGCUUGCCAUAGGCAUAAAUCACGGUGUUAUAAGAAUAAAGAUCGGGCCGCCCACCUCUCGACUUAAUCUCCCUAAGUAUCUUCUCACACCUCUCAAAGUCUCCCAUCCGGCUAUACAUAUUGAUCAAGCUGUUGUAAGUGGUCAAGCUGGGAGUAAAUCCAGUUUCCUUCAUGAACAAGAGUAUCUCUUCGACCUUGCCGACCAUUUGUCUCCUUCCAUAAACAGAAAUCAUUGCAUUCAAGGUUGUUAUAUCAGGGGAGCAAACUCUCUUCCUCAGUUCCGAAAAUGCCCGCUCGGUCUCCACCAAAAGAUCGCUUUUGCUGUUGACUAGAACUAGGGUUUUUAUCAACAUGUUAUGUGCUUCAACUUUCCCCGAAUAUAUCUCUUCGGAUAAAUUGUGCAUUCUUUCUAAUUCCUUCCCAUUAGCAUAGGCAUGAAGCAAAGAGGAGUACGUGAGCUCACUAGGCUUACAGUUGCACUCCUUCAUCUCUGAGACUACCUUUUCGGCUUGUUGCCAAAGCCCCCCACGAGCCAAUGCAGCUAAAACAGCAUUGUAAGUAGAAAGAUCAGGACCGAUUCCCGCUGCAAGCAUUCUCUUGUAUAUUUCCAUAGCUUGGUCGAAAGACCCACAUCGGCUAUAAGCACUAAUUAGAGUAUUAUAUGUAUCCCUCUCAGGCACAAAACCUGCCCUCUUCAUCUCCUUGAACACCCCAGAAACUUCAGAAUCCAUCCCAUUUUGGCCAAAUACGGCUAACAACGUGUUCCAAGUUACAACAUCGGGCACAAAACCGCUUGACCUGAGCUCCUCAAAAAUGGUCAUCAUAUUUUCAAACUUGCCUCGAUUUCCAUGCAUUUUGAUCAAAGCAUUAUAGGUACAUAGAUUUGGGCUGCACCCUUUGCUCAGCAUUUCAUCAAAAACCUUCUCUGCGGACUUAUCCUUACCAGCUUUCUCAAACCCAGAAAGCAAGGUGGUGUAGGUGAAAACAUCGGGCUUUAUCCCCUUCUUCUCCAUCUGCUCUUUUAACUCCAUGGCCUCUUCCAAAAUCCCAUCUUUAGCAUACGAAGAGAUCAAAGAAUUAUAAGUCACUAUACUCGGAGGGAACCCAUUCGCUUCCAUCUCGCGAAGAACACCCAAUGCUUCCUUAUGCCUCCGAGACUUCCCGUACACAUCGAGCAGCGAAUUGAAGGUAACCUUAUCAGGCGCAAAACCCAUCGAUUUCAUCUCUUCAAAAAUCUGGGUAGCCUCUUCAUACAAAGAACCGCGUCGGCAGCAGCUAAUUAGAGUGUUAUAUGUGUACCUAUCAGGAAAAAUCCCGUCCCGCUUCAUGGAUUCUAAAAGGCUCAUCACCUUCUUCCACGGCAUAAAGAGCUUCCCAUAUACAUUGAGAACCACAUUGUAGGUUAUAAGGGUUGGUCUACAUCCUUCUUCCUCUUCGGUCAUUUUAUCGAACACCUUCAACGCGUCGCGAUACCGACCGUUUUGUGCGUAGGCAGUGAUGACCGAGGUGUAGGUGUACACGUCCGGAUGGCACCCCUGCUCCCUGAGGGUCGCGAGCAACGCGGCGGCGUCGGAGAGGCGGCCGCGCUUGCCGAGGAUGCUGAUGACGGCGGGGACGACGGGGCCGCCGCCGCCGGAGAAGAGGCGCGCGUCUCCGUGGGCGCGGCGCGCCCACGCGAACACGGCGAGGGCGGUGUCCGUGCGCUUGUGGAACUCGAGCCCCUCGAUCACGCCAAGGAGGUCGGUGAGGAACGCGUCGAGGUCGUCGGGGCCGCCGAGGGCGAGGAAGGGCCUCAGGGCUCCGUCGAGGUCGUCGUCGUCGUCUCCGUUCCCGCGGGGGCGGCGGCGGAGGAGAGAGAGAGAGAGGGAUUAGGGUUUCUUUGUUUCGGAGAGGGGUUUUACGGGGACGAAGGGAUGAGGGAGGGGAAGGGCUCGAAGGGAGUGGGAGGUAGGAGUGUGUGUGUGUCGUAUGGGCUUGGUCUACCACGUCAUCCUUCACUUAGAUCACUGGACCAGGCAACAGUACAACAUAGGAACACUACUUGUGUGUGAAAUUAAUUUUAGGAUUGAUUGGUUUCAGGUUUGAAUCUUAAACCAGCUUUUGGUCAUUCAUAUUUGGACUUUGAUGAGUUGGGCCUGGUUGAUGCAUUCAGUUUGCUUGGAUUGACAAGAUCGAUGGAUGGGAUUGGAUCAGAUUGGACCAUUGGAUCAGUCCAAUUAACAACAGGUAGACCAAAAAUUAUUUCUACAAAUUAAAAUUAAUUCUGUAAAAAUUAUUUUUUCAAAAAUUAAGCCAAAUAGAAAAAAACAAAUAAUAAUAAUAACAACUUCGCUCAAACAUCAAUUGAAGCUCCUGUUUCCAAUUCCAGCUUUGGUCGUAAGCUCUGAAUCAUUCCAUUAUUAAGUACUUAACAUCUACUUCUUGAAAAGCGAAGCUAAUCCAAAAAUAAACUAUGGGCUGUUUGGCCUCGUCGUGGAGGCGCUUUUGUGGAAACAGAACCAGUUGGAUGGAUAUUUUGAAAGCGGCUACUUGGUCGUUUGCUGCACGCAAAAACACAUGUUGCGCGGUGUAAAAUAUAAUGCUAUACUACUUAAAAGAGCUAUAAAAUAUUUGAUAAUUCUGCCGUAUAAAUAUUAUCCAUCCAUAAUUGAACAUUAUUUGACUAACUACUGUAGGCUGUAGCCCUACAACGACGGUGCCAAACAAGCCCUCAAACAAGAGCAAAACAAUGAACCAAACUCGACCGCCCCAAACAUUCGGUCGAAAUAUUAAGUCUGAGCCUUGUGGUUAAGUUUUGCUUGGUAUACAAAUGAUCGAACUUGAACAGAAUCUAGUUUCAAAGCCCUGCACAUUCUGCUAUUCAUAAAUAGCACUUAGAACUCUUUAAGACCAGCUAAAAGAAGAGAAGCUUUUGGUCAAUCAGAACUGUUUACAUCAGAAGCACAAAGAUGAUGUCAAUGAACCAUCACAAACUUACGAUUUGUUCUGUGGAAUUGUCCAUACACAAAGUUGGUCAAUCAGAGUAUCAAGUCUUAAACAUAAGAGGAUUUUUGGUAAUAUGUAUGCUUCAUCCAUCUAGUUACUGUCCAUAUCUAUUUUUAUCAGUAUCUUUCAUAUUUUUAAGAUAAGUAGGAAAGAGCCUGCAAUUUAAGAUCCAGCUCAUGAUCUUAUCUCUUUCAUGCCUUUCAAUGUUGAGAGAUCAAACUUAAAACUUGAGAAUGCAAAAGUAGAAAAGGUAUUCAAUAUCCUCUCAUUAACAUUUCAGAGUCAUCACUGUUACAAAAUAUAAAUUUACCACUAGAACUGUGUUAAAUUAUGUUUUCUAAUACCCUGUAUAUAACUAAGUUGUAGCAAAGUUCAAUACCUUUUAAUCCUCCCACUAUCUAUACUCUUCAGAACACACAACAAAGAAGAAAGUAGUCCGAGUAAAUAAGAUAACAUUGAAUCUGAACUCGUUUUCACUAAUACCUGUAUCUAAGCUCCUUGUUCCAAAUAAAAAGCGCAGUUUGAUAACUCUUACUUGCACUCCAAAUUUAUUCGCCAACUCUUCCUCUGCUAGUUUUCAGAACAAUUCAAACUAAGGUGACAUACAUUGCAUCUGGACUCAUUUAGACUACUUGGACUAACAUGAUUUUAAAGAGUCUUAAAUCAUAGUUACAUUCCAGCUUUGAGUUAACUAAGGUUACAUUACAUUGCAUUUGGACUCUUUUGAAGUACUACGACUACCUAAUCCUAGUUCUAAAUGAAAAAAACAUUGUUUAAUACUUCUUACUUGCAUCCCAGUUUUCUCCAGUUCUUGCGCUUCUAGUUUUCAGAACACUUCCAAAAAAAGAACUUGAAAGAAACUGGAGUCAACUAAAGUUACAUUACCAUGCAUCUGGACUCCUUAUUAUUAAGACAACAACCUGAUCUGACAUAUCACUUUGAAUAUGCUGAAAUAGUUCGCUCCUUGUCCUAACUGAAGAAGCGAUGUUCACUACUUCAAUCGAAGAAUUCUUCUCCAAUUCUUCCACUUCUAAUAUUCAGAACACUUUAGAGCAAAGAAGUAGAAGAAACUGUGGUUAACUAAGGUUUCAUACAUUGCAUGUGGACUCCUUUCACCUACUACAUCUACCUGAUACUACAUAGUCAUUUUGAAAAUAACUGCAAUCCUUCACUCCUUGCCCUUUUUCCUUUUUGUCAAUUGUGACUCUUUGGUACUUAACAAAAGAUUGAAAGAGGUAGGUCAUAGGUGAUAUGAUUGCAGAAGCCAAAAUUUCGAAACUUCCAUCAGAAAAUUUCCUACCCUGUGGAAAAUAACCAUAAGCAAACAAGAAAGCACAGUUUGUUCUUCGUUGCUACAGAGUAAACAGAAGCUCAAACUUGUCUACAGAAGGCUAUACACACUUCACGCUAGGCACAUUUCAUGCUCAAGUUUACGAAAGUCCUAUGGUGAAAUGAAUCACAAAAUCCCAAUGUUUACAAACUUCUAAAUUGAUCAUCAUAACAAAAUAAAGAAGGAAAGCUUGUAUAACACUCUCACCACUUGUUCAGAAAGGUGGGAAGGAAAAAGAGGGUAGAUUAACUAUUACCCAGGAAACAGAGAUCUGUCCACCCUUACUAACAAGCAAGUAAAUCGCAAAUAGAACAUUAGACUAUGAUGAGAGAACUCCAAACAAGGAAGGAAAAAGAGAGAAAAAAGAAGAGUAAAGCUGGAUGCUAAAAAGAUAUGUUAAGUCUAUGAUAACUUAAGUCGAGCAUGACAUUUAAUGGUUUUCUCUAUUUUCUGAAGUAGAAAAUUAACGAGGACAGGGCAAAGGACAUAGCACUUGAUAAAAAUUGUAGGAACUAAAGAGAUUCGGAUGUAGGAUAUAUAUAUCACAUACCCCAUUUGUUAGACAUCUGCAAUUUGCUAACUUUUAAGGGAUCUCUGCUGGUUAAGGGAACGGCAUGCACAAAUGAUUGAAAAGACAGUUGGAAAUAUAUAUGGUGACUGUAAAAGUACUAGCUUCAACCUCCUAAUCUGAAGAUUACAGAGGGAAUUUGGAAUCAGCUUCCUAGACAAAUGUGAAUGUUCAAGUACUGUAAAGAUGAAGAAUUCUAUACGCUACCCGUAUACCAUACUUCUAAUUCUACACACUUCCCAUAAUUCUAACUGGGUUGCUCCUUACUUGAGUCAAUAGCUACUGCAGAUAUCAUUGAGGAGACAUUACUGGUUAUCAAAUCACUGAGAUCAGUGGUAAUGCACCAGGUAGGAUUUUUUUGUGUUUUUUCCCCUUGAUUUUGUGAGGGGACUCCGGGUUGAGGUUCAGAAAUCCAAGCUUCCUAUUCUUAACAAAUACAAACAAAGAGGCACUACUUGUCAUCUGAAGGACCUUGCAUUAGAAUGACAACAAAGGUACAUCAGAUAAAAGUCCUUCCUAAAUGAAAUUUCUCUAAAGCUCUCAAAACAACAUAUUAACAGAACUACAAUAAGCACACCAAACUAUUGGCAUACCCCAAAAUUAAGUUCCUAUUAUUUCCAUUUAUUUUGUAGGAAAAAGAAAUGUAAAAGUUAGUUCCUCAGAAUCUCUUAAAUUGGAGACGUUAUCUACACUACAAACAAAGUAAGCUAUGUGAUUCUUACAAUUCACUAUAGUGUUUUAUACAAAGGUACUACUUGCAAACCUAGUUCAAAAUAAAUCUCUUCACUUUUGGAAGUCAUUAGCUCAAUGAGAGAAUAAAUACAUUUUUGCAAUUCUGCUUACUACAACUGAACAUACAAGAUACUUUCGAGCAAUAUACCACACACACUUCUUUCGGACGAUGCAUCUACUUGCAUUUAUUAGGAAUAUGUAAAAAAUUAACAAAUUGUAUAAAGAUCAUAGAUCUUUCUUUCAAAGAAAAGGGAUCAUAAUAUUUGCAUUUUGCAUAAUGAUCAUGUCGCAAGACAUUCACGUCAUCUCAUCUCAUCAAACUAACGCAUUUGUGUAACCAUUUAAAGACUCGAUGAUGUUGAUGAUAAUUGAAGGUGAACAAAAAUAAAGUUAAAAUGACAAGAGAACAGGCUACGCGCUAAAUAACCUUCGAUCCAGUUUGUCUCACAGAAGAGGGCUUCAUAAACCUCCUUGUCCAUUUUUCUUAUUUUGUCGCUCCGCACCAGAACUUAAUCCUAAACAUAUCGAAACUAUCACCACUCUGAAAUUUCUUUGCGGAAACAAAAUUUCUCCACAGCCCUCAAAUGGACAAAUCAACAAAAACAUGGCGAGCAUCGAAGAUGCUCUCUUAUUUCAUCCAACUGUUUGUAUACAAUACAAGAUUUUGUAGACCUGAUCCCCGCCCACGAACAAUUCAACAAACAUCAACAUAGGAAAAGCACAAUUCAAGCAAGCAGAAACAAUAGUAGCAGAAAAAUAUUUCAAGGAACGAUCUUAUAAGCCUUCAUCUUAUCGAUCCAAGUGUUGAAGGAAGAUACUGUGUUGCGGAACCCCAAGAAGCCGUGCUCCUUGCUCUUGUUCAUGCUGUCGAGGUGCUCAGCAUCGUAGCCGAACAUGAUGUCGGCGAACCACCAGUUGCCGACCUCGUCGAGCCGCGUCGGCGUGAGCAUCUCCGCCCACAGCUGCUCCUUCCCCUCCAUCGCCUCCGCCAAUUUGAACCGCUUCUCCUCCCCCUCGUAGCCGACCCAGUCGACGCCGAACUGAUCGGCGAGGAUCGGCCACAGGUGCUUCCACUUGUACACGUCGCCGUCGCUGCAGUUGAAGGCCUCGUUCUUGGCGAAGGGGUCGACCGCGGCCCAGAUCUGGUGCUCCGCCACCAGAUCCGCAUCCGACGCGUCGCUGAACCCCUCCCACGCGACGCGGCCCCCGGGCCACCGCAGCUUCGCCCCCUCCCUGCGGCAUAUCGCCGCGUAGACGCAGAGCGUCUCGACCAGGUUCAUGGCGCUGCGGGGGGAGAACCCGAAGAUCACGGAGGGGCGGUGCACGGACCAGCUCACGGGGGAGGAGGAGGAGGGGCGCUUGGAGAGCUCGUCGAGGAGCGCGUCCUCGAGGUCGUAGUAGAAAUUGGGAACGUCGAGGCGGGGGAGGUCCUCGUGGAAGGGGGGGUCGUGGGCGGGGACGCGGCCGAGGGCCUCGAAGGGGCCGACGUAGUGCUUGCGCCCGGUCUGGAGGCACACGUGCUGGAGGUUCGGGGCGGCGGGGACGAGCACCGAGAGGGCGUUGCGGAGCAUGGCGGUGUUGGCGGCGCGGUUCUCGUCCUCGGAGGGGCGGCUCGUCCAGGCCACGUAGAAGACGUGGGUCACGUCGGCGAGCGGGGAGAGCUUCGCGGCGGCGUCGUCGGGGUCGGAGAGGUCGCACUGCACGUGCUCGACGGAGGGCCCGUCGCAGAUCGGCGGCGACCAGGAGGGGCGCGGGUUGCGGCUCACGGCGUAGACCUUCCAGGGACCCCCCGGCGUGUCGGAGAGGGGCAGGAUCUCGAGGAGGCUCGUGCCCACGAUCCCCGUCGCGCCCACCACCAGCCCCACGCUUUCGUAGCGCGUCGGCACCGCCGCCGCCGCCGCCUCCGCGUUCUCGUCCAGCUUCUUCUUCGCCGCGCCGAUGGCGCCCGCCCACCACCAGCUCAUGGUGAUGGCGAUGGAUAUUGAGAGAGAAAGAGAUAAAGAGGGGGUUAGGGUUAGGGUUUGAAAGGGGGUUGGGGGAGUACUUCGGAGGAGGAGAAAUUGAGGGGUUGGGGGAGAAGGGAGAUGAUCGAACACCAGUUAGGAAUGGUUGGGAUUUUGAUUACGUGUUUAUUUAUAGGCACGAGGUGCACGACCCGUGGUUAGGAAUUAUUGGAUGCACCGCGGUGUAUACACCAGUGAGAAAUUGUUCAGUUAACGGUAGGGCAAACUUCAAAUACCGCUGUGUGGUUUCACACUUUCUCACUUUAGUAUCUUGUGAUUUAAAAUAUAUCAAUUUAGUACUUUAUGGUUUAUUUUUCUCUUUCGGUCAGCUCCUCCGUUAACAUGUUGUUAAAUUAUAUACAAAAAACUUCAGAUACGCUAUCUUGGUUUAUCGAAUAUUCAUUUUAAUACAUUUUAGUUUUAACCUUAUCACUGAUUUAACGAAAAAAAUAGGUAAAAUAAAUAAUAAUAAAAAAUAUAAUAUAACCAAAGAGUACUAAAUCGAUACACUUUAAACUAUAGAAUAUCAAAGUGAGAAAGUACGAAAUUACAAGAGUGGUAUUUGAAGUUUUACUUUUUUUUUUUAAAUACCACAAAAUGGGCAGAAACUGUAAAGUUAUGUAUUUACUUUAUUUCAUUA